AUUAAUGUGAAUUGCAGAACACAUUGAACAUCGACAUCUUGAACGCACAUGGCGGCCUCGGGUCCAUCCCGGGGCCACGCCCGUCUGAGGGUCG
rnacentral:rRNA from 1 species